rnacentral:rRNA from 1 species
UAGGAUUCCCUUAGUAAUGGCGAAUGAACAGGGAUAAGCUCAACUUGAUAAUUGUGGCUUCUGGCUUUGAAUUGUAAUCUCAAGAUGUAGUGCCAAGGAGGGCGUAGGUGUAAGCCUCUUGGAAAAGAGAAUCAUUGAGGGUGAGAAUCCUGUUUGUCACCUGCAGUCCCUCCUGUACGGCCUACCUUCUAAGAGUCACGUUCCUCGGGAUUGGAGCGCAAACUGGGUGGUAAAUUUCAUCUCAAGCUAAAUAUGGGUUCGAAACCGAUAGCAAACAAGUACCAUGAGGGAAAGAUGAAAAGGACUUUGAAAAGAGAGUUAAAAGUGCCUGAACUUGCUGAAAGGAAAGCGGAUGGAACCAGUGUUGCUCGGUGAGAUUGUUGCGCGCUAUGGUGAUGGCCUGYUGCAUCAGCGCAAGCGUUGCUGUGGGUUUUGAUCUUGAUGCGCGUGAUGCUUCUUGCCUUGUGUGUCAUCGUCGGUUCGAUGGUGAGGACAACCCUUGGGACAUGGUAGCUCGCCUCUGGGUGUGUGAACGUGCCUUGUGGAACUCACCUUCGAACUGCAAACCGAAUGUGCGGUUGCGCUGCCCUCGCUCUGCGUCACUGCCCCUCGCCCUCGUGCGUGCUGGGUGGUGUCGCGCCGCGCGGGGCACCUUCUGCACACAGCUAUGGUGACUAAAUGGUUCUAUUCGACCCGUCUUG